GGUCCCUGUCUCAGGGACUGUCCCAGUCCUUCCUCAAAGGUGCCUUGGUGCUUUGGUUAUAAGAAUUAUGCAGUAAACUAAAUGACAACUAGCCUCAAUUAAGAUUUAGUUUGGAGACUAAAAACUCUCCAAUGAUUUAGUUUCAGGGAUUAAGGAAAACAAAACCUUACCGACGGCUGGAUAAAAUUCACAUUCCUUUCAAUUGUGAUCAUCCUACAUCAAGGAAACGUUUGAAAUGUUGGCAGUCUCCUAUGAUAUGCCUGUGAAAGUUAUUAUAUUUCUUUAAGUAAUUUAAGAAAAAAGAACCAAGAGCUAUAGCCCAAAUGUGUUAUAUAAAUCUUCAUUUUUACAAAAAUAGUCUGAUUGAUGUCAGGUCCCAGUGGGUGACCUUUAAAAGAGACCACAUCAAAUGGAGGGGCAGAGCUGCAGCUCUCCACUCCCACAUUGGCUCUUCUCCUCCUCACUUCUCCUCACCAGAGUGCCUCUAGACAGCUAUGUCAUCUGUAGCCAUAAAAUAAAUUGAAGAAUGUCUGUCUCGCUAAAGGCAAAAAAGAAGGCCUUCUCUCAUCUCCGUUGAAGUGGGCCACAUCCUUAUCGGGGCUGCAAAAUGAACUGCGUACCUUCAUGGAGGCUUAAAUGUCUGUAAAAUCUGCUCCAUCUCCUCCCUCCCCUCAGAUCAAGGUAUCCUGUGUUAAGAGGGAUGUUUCUGUGGGGUCUGGGCAAGGAGGGACAGGAGCCCUAGCUCUGUGCCACCUUUAAUUUGCAGUUUAAUUACUGUAGGAACAGCAUCAUUUGCUACUCCUGCCUUUCAACAUCAAAGUGUUAAUUCUAGAGGAAGAAGAAAGUUUGAUUUUCAGAGGGGCUUUCUGAAGCACAGCUCCUCAGAGGAAAUAUGUGUGGGGAUAGUUCAUCAUAAGUGGUUCUUCUUACCCUGAUGAAUAUUUAUGCUGAAGAAUUCAGCCCAGCAUUGAGGGUGCACAGCUCACAAGAUUGCUUGACCGAUAUCAGAACCUGGUCUCAGGGGUCAAAACACACCAAUUAUUGUGGUAGAAAAGUUUGCAUAGACAUUUUCUUCCCUUUUUCUUCAACAACAGUGGUCUGUUUGGUUGCAGCUUAGAAAAAGAAAAUAUUUUCUGUACCUCUUUGAAUCACAAAGGAGAGUAGAAACAAUCAGUGCUAUCAUUACAUAAGGGUGUCUUACUUUCAGAAAGACAUACAAGAGUAAUGUAAGGCAAAAUAUAGUCCUGCUGAAGUGUCCUGCCAGACGUAUUUAGAGAUGCUGUAUUGGCAAACAGGAGUUCAUCUAUUCAGAUAGAAAAUGACACUGGUGGAACAAACUAGUACUUAGAGGGAGGUGAAAUAUGUUGCAAGAGGAUUUGUCUACCUUAGGCCUAGGAGCAAAGAGGAGGAUAGAGAUGUGAAUGCUUCAUGGUGACCUACUCCCCUAUGGCCAAGUUCCUGCACCAGACCAUCAUAUGAUUGCCUGUCUCAACAUGUCAUGUGAAACUUGUGAAAAAAGGACAUGCUGGUGCCCAGCGAGCCAAGGCAGCAUCUCUCAACCCAUGAAACUUCGUGAUAGAGGUAAUUUCUUUCACUUCAGAUGAUUUUGUAAAGUAAGAUUCCUUUUCCCUUCUUUAAUUCUUUCCAUGACCACAUGAACAAAUAACCUCUCCUCAGGUGUUCAGUCCCUAGUACUUGUCACCUUCUAAGAAGAGCCCUUUGGUCCCUCUCUAGUGUCAGACAACCAGCAGGAGAAAGCCAACACAUUGACAAACCACUUUAGAGCAAAAUGUCACAGAACUUAGACCAGCUCUGGUUUAAGCAUCCCUAAAGGCCACAAAAUCUUUUGGAACUUUCCCUGUUCACGUUGAAUUCAUGGACGUUGCAGUCAUUUCCAUAACAACAACUAAGGUCCGGAAACCAAGAUUAGGCUUUUUAUGAAAGACAAUUAGAAGAUCAGAGAAUCACAGAAGGGUUUGGAUUGGAUGGGACCUUAAAGAUUAUCUAGUUCCACCCCCCCUGCCCUGGGCAGGGAACCCAUAAUGCAGCAAAAGGCACUUGUUUGGAUGCCCUUUUGGGCAAAAAGCCCAGUGCAGUUCAGAUACAGGACAAGGAAGACCUUGAUCAGUAAUUGCGUGGAGGGAAGAGCACAAAUAUAUGUCUGGGUUUGAUCCCUAUUUGCUCCUUACCUCAGGGAAGUUGUCUAGGCAAUAUAUUGAGAGUCUUUCCAACAAGAAUUCCGGGUGGAUCUAUUAUGGGGCAUAUUGCCCUUCCAGCUUUUUUUGUCCUGUCGUAUAGAUACAACCACUGAGUUUUAAAUCACAGGGGUCACAAAGAUUAAUUGAGGAUCAUUCAUUUUCGCCCUGAAAUAUAUUUACCUGCCUAAAACUUCUGUGAAUCUGUUUAGAUCUCUUUUUUUAUUUCUGAUUGAGCAGAACUGUUGAUUUAGUCUUGGACAGAAUGUCUGAGAGUCAGAGCACACCCACUACAUGCUCCAAACCAAGUAAUGGCAUGUAUUACACCCCUUGUUUUAUCACUCACAGUCAGAGAACAGUCUUGGCAUUUCAGGCAGUUCCCUAGAUGCUGUUAGUGUUUUAAGCAUUUGAUAUUCAUGACAUACUCCUUGGGUAGGGUUUGAUUCAUUCAAAGUAUUUUUCCACUGAGUGGCAAGAACAAUAGCUUCCAAUUUUGAUUUUUGUAAGUACAACUUUAAAUUCUCUUUAAAAUGCCGUUAUUUGCUUAAAAUAUGCUACUUCUGAAAAAAUGCCUGCCACAAAGCUUGUAUAGUAAAGCACUUGAAGAAUGCUUUUCUUUGAAAGAGAAAAUUUAUGUGAGAGAAAGCUAAUGAAAGUGAUCUUGCUUUUAAAAAAACAAGCCGUAACCUACAAAGAUAUUCUGAGUAGUUCUGGAAUCUUAACUGUCAUUAUCAAUUAGCCCACCUUAAUUACUGGGGGCAAACUCUCCAGGAGCAGAGAACACUCCUAAGUUUGGAUAUAGGAGGACAGGCUAAAUACAUAGUGUUGUGCUUUAGGGGAUUGCUAAAAGCAAUCAGUUACAGUUUUGUGUAAUAGCCCCUUCAAGUUUGUGCUUUCUUUGGGAAACUGUGCAGAGCAAAAUGCAUGGUGUAGUGGUAAGAAUAAAAAUUCACUUUCAGGGAAAGGGUAGGCAGGACCACUGGCAGAAGGAAUUCAUGGGAACUGUUCAGAUGUGAUGGAGAAUGCCAUACCUUUCCCAAACUACUUCACCCUUCCUCAUCUCCCUUCCUUCUUGAAAAAUCAGAUUCCUCCUUCCCCACUUGCAGUCCUCUCACUUUAUCUUUCACAGGCCUGAAUUUUGAAUGCUCCUGCUAUGAGGUGUUGUGACUCACCCACAUUCAGAGCUUGGUCCCCAUGUGUUCCUUUAUCUCUGCUAUCUGGAUGCAGGCUAGCUCUCUCAGCCACAGUGGGUCCCUGGUCCCUCCUAGUAGGAGGGUCAAAGCUCUUCCCAAGAGGCAGUGUGGCUUGUCUGGUGAAACACAAGUUGCUAUUAUCAGCCUUGUUUUGUUUUCCUGAGAAGCAGACAAAAAAUUUUGUGUUCCAGACACUUACCCUCAGCACAACACUCCAAUGCCCAUCCAUUGUUAAGCUUUGCCCACUGUUUAUAUGAUGCUUUUACCUGUAAAGAUAAGAGUUUUUUAACAGAUCUUAUGAAGCAGUGUUGCUUCAGAGGAAGAAGCCUCAGCACUGAGCUGGAUUUUCUCUCUCUUAUUUCCUGGCUUAGGGAAGGCUGUACUAUCUGCAGCUGGUGGAUACGGACUUCAGUGACCUACAGGGAUGUUGCUGGGGGAUGCUUUUAGUGAGGUUUGGCUGCUACACACGUGUCUCCAGCCUUUCCUUGUCCUCUUGGCUGAAUAUGGACAAGGGAGAACUGUUCGGUGCAGUAAAAAUUCACAAGUUGUUGCAAAUUGCUUAGCUCUACUUACUCUACAAGAGUUUUAUGCAAGUGUGUUGUUCAGCCCAGGAAAUGAUUGCUGCAAGUAGUCCAAAAGAGGGCAGAACAAUGCAUUUUCUACUUAGAGUACACAGUGUGAUCCAAAUCAUAUCCUUUUGUCAUAUCCUGUCACACCCUGAAUGGUGUAAGUCAAAAAGGCUGGGCUGCCUGGGGCAGGCCACCAUGUAGUAUUUCCUGAGUACUCAUGCUCGGUCUCUGUACAGUCACAAAUCAGUUGUGAACAGCUGCAGAAAGUGAAAGAGAGGGGCAGGUACUGCUAACGCAGCUUUGUAGUCGUUAUUCAAAUAAUGUGUGCAGAUGCUUUCUUACCAAAAGAUUUUUUUGCUUCAGAAAUCAAAUGCCACGCAGCAUCACAGACUAGCAAGUAGCAAUUAUGUUAUAUUCCUCCAUCACUAUGAAUUGCCUAAAUAACGAAAAAAAAUUGUGAUGUAAAUUCAGCCACACAAAAAUAUGUAGGCUAGAAAGCCUCAGAACAAACAGGAGGCAGACUAUGGUGAAAUCUACACCUGCAAAUAAUGAUCUCUUUUGUCUAUAAAGCUCUGUUUUCAUUAUACUUGAACUUUCUCACAUAUUAAACCUCUGUUUAGAGAACUACCGGUAUAUCCUGAUGCUUCCAGGACUGACUGAAGUAUAUUUUACUGUAAAUUCAAUGCUACAAAAAACCCCCGAAACUUCCUAACUGAUAAAUCCAAUCAAUGAUAUAAUUAAGAGCUAAUGAUGUGUCUGGUAAUGCAUAAGGAUGGUUUUUCUCCAGAAGAGUUUACAAUGUAUUUCCUCUUGGCAAACAGCAGGUACGUGGGUUUUGACCCCUUCUUAAACAGGAGUGGCAACUCUGCAAAUAAAUUCACGGCUACCAGUCAACUUCCUUAUUUGCUUUUGAAAGUGAGGCAAGACUUCUCUGAUUACUCGUUAAACGCAUCUUCAUUAAACAACUUAACGUGAUCCGAGUAGUCCGAGGAGGUAAAUUGCAAUGGUCAGUUCACACAGAAAAAAAGUAUUUCAACAAAAAAAGCCCAUGAGAGUAAACCAGCAAUUAAUAUGGUCUUUAACAAGCACAGAAUUCAAAUCAAUUGGUAGGGUUGUUCAGAAAAAUCAAGAAGGUCGCUGCAUAUCUAAAUGAAGAGGGACCAGACUGCUUAUAGGCUUCCAGGUUCAGGCUUAGCUGUUAGACAGCAGCACCUCUCCAAAACACCAGCAAUCACAAGGGAGAGGUUUUGCCAGGCAACACUUACCUUGCCAGGGAUGCUGCUCCUGAUGCUCUCCACUGGUCCUUCUCAUCAGGUUUCUUGUGUCCUUGUUAAGGUUAACGUAGUCCAAGGAAGCCACAUCUGCCCAUUGGCUCUGUAGGGAAGGCUUGUUUGUAGGAGUACAUUUUUACUCUGCCUCCCCUCUUAUUUUGUAAAAGAGAGAAACCACAAAUGUUUUUCUUCCUGUUUUAGUUAUUUCCUCUCUGCUUGGCAAACCUUGUUUUUGACAGGAGCUCUCAGAUAUUUGGGCUGUGUUCCUUGAAUCAGAGAGCCCCCAGGGACAGUUCAGUGGUCAUCUGUGACUGUCUUGUAGUCACCAGAUUUAGUGGAGCUAUAAUGGGUAAUAAUUUCAUUUUAUUAUGGUUAUUUACUUGGCAAUCCUAAUUCCUGAGGAUUUUUCUAACCUAGCUACAGUGCUAAAAAAGAGCUUUGUCGCUCUGGAAAGUCAGAUCAAGGCAGGGGAAAAUCUAAACAACUCAGGAGAAAGGCACUAGUGUCCCUCAUUCAAAUAAUAUUGAGUAAGUGAUCUCUCUGUAUUGAUCAGUACCAAGGAGUCUCUAAACUCUCAUUGCAUGAUGGAGCAUGACUGAAAAGGGAAGAGAGGGUUUUCUGGAAAGUGAUAAAGUGAUGGUGUGAGACAGUAAAAAAAGAAGUUAUACAAAUUUGUUUGUCAAGAUAAGAUCUAAAAAGCUCAGUGAGUGGGAAAAAUGAGCCACACCUCUGAGGUCAAAAAUGGUGGGCAAGGGAGGGAAGUGGGAAGCACCAGGAUCUGACAGGCUGCCAGCAGUAAAGCUGGAGUUAUCAAGAGGAGAGGUACAAAAGAGAAAGGCUCAUUCAUUGCCCUUCAGCUUCUUAGUCUCAGUGCACAUGACUUCAGAGUAUGGUACUAGCUGAAGCAAGGGGGAAGGUACUAGAAAAGGUAAAUUUAUUAAUUUCUGUGUGCCUCACAAUUACAAAGAAGCCUCUCAAUAUGUCCUCAGGUCUCUUCUGUUACAAAGGUGAUCAAAGCUAAUUUGAUCAUCCAACUUAUGAAGAAAGCAUUGUUUACAUCCUUAUCUUUAUCCAAAGCUUUUCUGUGUUAGUCUGAGCUUUCCCCACCCAUAAUACACUUCUAACCUAUUUCUCAUCUGCAGACUAAUCAGCUGCUCACCUAUGCAAACAUGGUUGUUAUAUUGCCUGUGAGACAUUUUGCCAAGACCAACCUUUGUAUCAGAGAUAGGAGGACCCAGACCAAGCUCUGUGCUCACUAAUAACCAGCAGCUGGUCAUGCUGGUCUUCUUCCUAAAACUGUACUUCCCUUGUGCUUCAUGAUCCAAGCUGGCUGAGGUCCUAUCUCUAUGACUGCUCCAGGGAUGCUAAUUCAUUUUUAGGUGACAGGGUCAGGAGUUCAGGUUCAGGUCCACAAAAACAUGUUGCCUGCCUUGCCAUGGUCCAGAGGGCAGCAGCCUGGCUAAGGUACCUGCUCCUUCAUUUAUAGGUAUGACCAUGUGUACCAAAGUGACUUGUAUCAGCUUCAUCCUGGCCACAGAGCUCACUAGCUGAGCUUUCUAGGUUGUGAUCCCUGCUGCACUGGGCCACUGUGGCUGAAGCAGGGCCGGGCUCUAGCAACAAGGACCCCUCCUGCUUUUGCACCUUCUCCUCAUUGGCCAGUGAACCAGAGCCUACAGGCACCUCAGUACCACUGUGAGCUGUUUUCAAAAGGUCUGCUUCCUGCAGAAAUGAACCUUCCUUGACAAAGACAGGAAUUUGCAGCCAUGUAUUAGGGCUGCAUGUUUGUGUUACCUCCAAAAGAACAGCGCAGUUAGAAGGCAGAAAGAGUGCUCAGGCAUUUGGAAACCUUAGAAAAUCCAGCUAGUUAGACUGCAUCAGGCGUGAAGAGGCUGGAUUUGUUAUUCUGAUGAGGUACAAGUAUUAUUUUCUUAACCUGCACAGUGCUCAGGGCAAGCUAUGACAUAUUGACAAACGAUGCCUCUUACCGGUGAAACCCACUUGUCUCUUUGUAGGCGUUUAUGACCCUUUUCAUAUUCAACUCCGCUGCACUUGGAAUAUUGCUGUUUUCUGUGUCAGUGGAGAGGUGGAGCAUUUGCCUGAUCCUCAGAGGUCUCAUCAUAGGUUAGUAAACUCUGUCCUGUAGUUUCAGAUACAAAAUCCCAGCUGGGAUGUGGAUAGAUGCUCCUCACCUAGUCAAAUAAUACAUAUAACAAAUGCAAGUAAACAUGUCUGAGGACCCUCUUUCAUCCAGAAAUGAAAGGUUAACUUCAGAUGAAAAAGAAUAACCAAAUGCUUUUGCUGCAGUGUGUUGAGCACAAAAAUAUAAUUACUUCGGUUUUCCCAUCUCUUUCAAGUCAAAGGCCAUUCACAGCUUCUCAUUUUCCUCAGCUGGACCAACUGAUGCUUUGUGUCCAGAUUGAUACCAGCUGUGUGUCUCAUUAUUUGAAAUGAACAUGUAAGUCAGUUUGUUCUUCCACGUAUGAAACCCAUUAUUCUCCAAAAUCUUUUGCUGAAUAAUAGUUCCAGGCCUACUUGACCCAAAAAGACAUUUAGCAAUCCUUCCUGAUGGCUUCCAAGUUAGUAAACACACCAACAGGGUGUUGCUCAAACACCAAAACAAAACAGACUCUUCAUUUCAGGCAGCUUCAGCUGAUUUUAGACUGCAUCCACAUUACAAGCAUCAGCUACGGCCAUGUUUUGGCUUGCAGAACCUUUUCCUCACAGAGGGAUUCCUGGUAUAAACACCAGUGGCUUUACUAUUGAAAAUUUUGCUGUCUGUUAAUUCUUUUACUUUCUUACAGCCUACUUGUGUUGCUUGGCCAAAGUUGUUUCCAGAGGUAUUCCGCAUGUAAAAGAAAUCCUUUCCCUAUUUAACACUGAUCCAACAGGUCCAUUUAUUCUCCCAAAUAGUUGCUUGUAACCCCUGCUAUAGUCAUCUGUAAUAAUUUUUCCCAAAGUCCAGUGGCCAUCUUUUUCUCUUUUCCCUGAUACACCUCUUGCCGAAUCAUCUUCUCACAGCCCCAUAUGUUUAUAACCGCCUUUGAGGUAAUUAGUGCCUCAUAAUGCUUCAACUCAUCAAGUUCUGUCUGAGCUUCAGCCCUCAGAGCUGUCUCUGUAUCUGCGCCCCAGUUCCUCAGGAAAAAGUAGUUUUAUAUAAAUUGCUUUUACGUAGCACAGUUGUUGCAUGAGACAUGACAUGAAACAGACAUUGCACAAAAUGACACAGCAGGUUCAAGGACUCCUGUAAUUGCUCCUUUCCUGUUUUCACUACCUCUGGAACGUGGCCGUCAGGACAGGCAACGCUGUUUAGCCCCACGCCCCUCUGAGCCCGGGUCUACAGACCAUGAGCUGCUCCUGGAGCACAGCUUAGCUAAUUAAGCUUAACAGAGCAAGUCUCUGGUUGUGGCUUGUUCGCAUUUUCCCCUAAGGGCUUUGCUUAGACAUAAAUUGACCAUAAAGUGAUGAAGUGUGCAAGCAGGUUAAAAACUCAGGGAGAGAUGGAUGUGCCACCCCACUAUAAGGUAGGGGUUCACAAAAGUGGUAUAGCAGGUUAAGGCAGUGGACUGAAAGCCAAAAAGCUUGAGGCUCUUUUCCCAGCUCUGCUGUGGAGUGUGAUCUCUGAUAAGAAAUUCUGUCACCCUUUUAAUACCUUCUUUCUCCUCUUCUCCUUGGCAAUAUAAACUGCAGAGUCUCUUUGUGUCAGGAUUGACUUUUGGUUUAUAUUUUUUUCAUCAUCAUUAAAAACUGCUUCCUCUCCCCCUGGCCCUUAAAUUAGAUGGAUACACUUAUAGUGAUCCCCAGUACAUACCUUGGAAAAAUGAUGGCAAUAAAGAAGAAGGAACUAGUGAGACUUGGUCCUAAAAAAUAGGAAUUACUCUGUGGGUGUCUGCAUUCGCAUCAGUGUGUAUCAGUGAGCUCUUUGGGACAGCGUCCUUUAGUUUUCCAGAAAAAAUUGUAUUUCAGACAGUUCUGUUCUUCAGGGAUUUGGGUCUGACUCUGCUAAACACUUUAGAAAGCCUUUUUCUAUUUAAUUGGUACAACAAUCUACAUUAACAGUAUCCCAAACAUAGAAAUAUCGAAACCAGGUACAAAGUGUCUCCCUCUCAUUUCAAUGUACUGAAUUAAUUUCUUUGCUGAGGGUUUGAAGCUGAUUCGAAGCCUUGGCAGAUACCAAAAGUAAGACCAUCCACUAAAUUUCAACUGGGCUCACGUCAAAAUUAUGUGAAAUUAUAAGUCUCAUUGAGCUUACAAGUGAGGCUAUAAUUGCUCAAAAUUGUGCUCAGAGCAUUAGAGAUUUGCUGGAAGAUUCAUGGCCCAGAAGGAGCCUUUUACAGUAAAUCUGGUCCCACAUCUGGUUUGACAUCGCAGUCUGAAAAUGGGUAUGAUUUAAAGAGUUUUGUGUCUUGCCAGGAAGGCUGUAGCACAAAGCAUUUGAUAUGUUUUUCACCCAGUGGAAAGAGAAUAUCUCAGACUUCUGUCAGUUUGGAUGCUGACUAAAGUGGUGGCUCUGAGGGAAAAGACCACAGUGACUUCUGGCUGUGUUUUACAAAACUGAAAAUACGUUUCCAAGAGGCAGAUUCUGGGCAUGGUCUAUGUAGUUGUGUUGCAUGACAUGCAGCUGGGUUAUGAAAGGGUAAAUUGAAUCCUUUCUUAUGCACCUCAGUGCCAGGGUGAAUUAAACAUAAGAGCAGUUUUCUUGAAGCAGCAGAACAGCAGCUGCUGUGUCUCGCAAAUGAGAUGGGUUUGGGAUCAGUGGGAAGGGAAAGUAUGGGGCAAUCUGAGCCCAUUGCAACUGGCCUGAUAGAUCCAAUUCAGUUGUCCUCAGGGUCCUGAUUCACCUCCCACCUCUGGGAUGCUUGCAGUCAAAAGAAAUAAUAGAAAUAAGUUACUAUGAAAUGAAAGACUGGGAUUAGCUUCAUAAUUUAUAGUCAGCUGCACUUAAAAUUCCCUUUUUUUUACUGCUUUCUAACUGAGAGCUUCUGAGACAUGACUUUCUCUCAGGACACGUAGAUUAUUGCACUAAAAUUUCACUGAGAUACUUUGUUUGUCUAUGCUAAGGUUAGAUUGCUCAACACACUCUUAAGUAAAUAAUGUAAAACCCAAGGACUAGCUACUGCAAAAUGUUCUCUAUAAAAUAAUGAAGUACGUAACUGGCAUUGUUUGAGCAAGAGCUUAUUAUAUUGUUCCAGUAUUUUUUAGUCUAGUAGGAUGAGGGCAGAGCAGCAGAUACUAUCUGGGAGUAAAGCACUUGUACUUUUAAAACAGCCAAGGCUGGCCCUGAGAGAGUAGCAAACUUUACUCCAAGGAUAACUGAGCAGUGCACAGGCUGACAUGGGUGUACAUUGUUCUGACAGGAUGGGGGUGAGCAGUGUGGUUGGGAGGCCUUUUUGAGGAGAAGUGUCAGACAGUAGUGUACAGGGAAGAGAAAAUGGGAAAGAUGUAGAUGUGGCACGCGUGAAGGUCUGUGGGUUGUUGACAAGUGGGAGGUGUUCAGAGGCAAAAAUUUGUUUUAGGUGAAAUAUCCUUCAUCCCCCCAAAGCUGCAUUUCUGGGGCAAGACUGGUGUAGGGGGCAAGAGGAGCUUCAGAGGAAGGAAUUGAUGUGUCAGCCUGAGUGUGACUUGUGCAGUCUGCAUACUUGCUUUUUGUACACAGGGGAAGGAAAGAUAUGAGGGUACUACUCGUGUACUAAUUGAUCACAAGAUCAUCCUAGGUCACUGACAUGACCUGCCAUUAAAGAAAGGGAAAUAAAUUGCCAGGUGGGGAAUAGAAAUAUUGAUGCUAUCUUGUAAAGCACCAACAAGAUAUCAUCUAGAAAUCCAGGCACUAACUUCCAAGCAAAAUAAAUUCAGGGACAGAUGCAGAGACAGGUCAUUAGGUUCAUUAUGUAGAUGAUUAGGGGUUGUUUCUUUGUUAGGGAAAGGUAUUAAAAUGUCUGCUGGUUUGUUUAGCUUUGGAAAACAAAAGCUUCAAGGGGAUACGAUUGCUAUCUAUACAUACCAGGAAAAGAAGAGAGCUGUUUAAGCUAAAGGGGAACUCUGACAGAAGAAUAAAUGAAGCUCAUGCCAGCCUUGAAAGGAGACCUCUACCCACAAGAGCAGGGAGUAUUAGUGUGAUAAAAACAAACUUCAUUUGAAGGUGCAGAUGGAAAGGCAGUGUAUGACCUGGGGCUGUAAAAUCCUUUCCAAUCUUGUGUCCCCAUUUGCAGCAGGGUUUACAAUAUCUGGUGGUGAGAACAAAAGCUUUUUAGUUGGUGGGCAGUUUUACAGAGGAAGUAUUUAAGAUCUUCCCUCAUGUUUCUAGUACCUUGUGCUUGCACGGGUCUGUGCUCCUGUGCAAAGAGCUGCAGAGGGCCAUUGUUCUGACUUACCUUUGCUUUGGGUUUAUUUGGACAAGGGUAAAAAUCUGCCUUGAGACUGAGCUUGGUUCAUAUGGAGACCAGCUGUGAAGAAAUGGAGAACUUCUGUGAAAGGCUGAAGUAUGUGCGAGGGCACUUGGAGCAGUUUGUGGGUUGCGUGUCUUGUUAGUCUUUGCUGUUUAUUGCCCUGUUGCUUAAAAUUAAUGGGAGUUGUAUGUAUCUUGUAAAUGAACAUAUAGGAUCAUUUCCAAAGUCUCUGUCCAUUUAUUUCUCUCCAAAGUAGAAACUAAUGAGAUCUGCAGAAAUUUUUCAUUGUAAAUAAACUCCUUGACAAAUAUUUGAAUGUUUUUGUUUUAUAAGUUAGUUGUAAAUAUUUUUGUCAUCGUUCAGCUGUUACCAGAAAUAACUCAGCCCUGGAAUUCGCUCUCUGAUAAUACGUUACAUCUUCCUGGAAUAACUACAUUCCAGAGGUCACAUUCUGCAAAUAGCUUUCCUAACUUAAAUUACUUGCCAAAUAGUCUGAAGGAUCCUAUAUGACUGCUAUUGCAAAACCCAGCUUUCCUGGUAGCCAUCUGCAUUUAAUCACUUUCAGGGAUAAAAGUUAUGUGCAGUGCUUUUGGACCCAUGCUUUUCUUUUGAGAGCACAUACCUGCAGAUAUCUUCAUUAUUCACAUUUUAUGUUCAUGUGAAGGGUGUUCAUACCUCCCAUUCCCAAAAAGCACAGUGGGGUACUGCUAAUAAUGGCUGUUCUUUGUUGUAAAGUUAUAGUUUGGCAAUAGCUUCAGUAUUAUCACUGUGAUGCUGUAAAGAAAUGAGGACAAUAUGUUUGGGCUUUGUUUAGAACAGAGCACUGCAGUUUGCACUGCAGUUUUCAUAUAUGUUUUUUCUGUAAUUUAAGAACUUCCAGGCUUAGUAAAAGCUAGAAAUCAACUAAAAUCAACUGAGAGUCUGCAAACUGCACAGAUAACAAAAAGAACAGUUAUUCUUUAACUUGUACUAAAGUUAAUACUAUCCUUAGAUCAGGACUGAGUUGUCAGGGAGAAAGAUGAAGGGGUAAAAAGAGAUGGAUGGGGAAGCACAGAUGGAGUGAUAUUCUUCAGAGGAUAUUCUUCUGAACUUAAGAGAACCAUUUCACCUCAUCUCUUUAGCAUGAAAGACAGUCAACUUGCUAAAAGAAAACUUUACAGGACUAAGGCCUAUACCCCCUCUUUCCAUUAUGCCACCUAAUUCUUACAGCUCUGUGAAGUUAGUGAAGAAACUAGAAGGUAGAAGGACAUGGCUUUGGCACAUGGGCAAAUGUGGCCUCUGAGAAUGGAGCACCACAGAAGGGCAUCAAGCAGAGCAGAGCAUUGCUAAUUGAAAAGUACAGGAAAUUCUUCCUGCAGUCUCCAGGGAAAAAGACUUAUUACAAGAUCAGAACAAAGCAGUUAUUUCUAUUUUUUUCCAGGUGAAAAAAAAAAAAUUCCACAAUCAUAUAUCCUUCUUUUUCUUCGAAGUAUAAUUUACCAUGAAUGUACAAGCAGAAAAAAAGCUGUUUCUGAUCAACCUACAAAAACUUUGUUUCCCUGCUAACAGUAAAACAGGGGUAUGAUCCUGAAUAUUUGAUAAGAAAAUAGGAAAGUGGAGGGUCCUUCUAAAACAGACAUUACUACUUCUUUUUACAUUUUGCAUGGAAAACACUGAAUCAGGCAGCUUAUCAAAACCUGCAGUAUUUUGACUACAUUUUUUUGAGUUUGGGAGCAUAUGAUGCUUUUUUUUCCUCAAAUGGUAACAUUUUACUCUCUAUCAGAUGUUCAUAAUGGAGAAUUUUAUUUAACCAAACCCCUGAUUUUUCCAUGGGUAACCAUUUGCAGUGGCAAAAGGUUUUGUUUCAGCUCAAAGAGUGGGCGACGGAGGAGAAGGAUGCACAGCAGGAGGAUCAGGGACCUGAUGCAGCCUCAGACCCAGCAGGGGCUUGUGGGGGGGAUGUAUUUUCCUUGUAAGCUUUUAAAACCUUGGCAGUGUUUUGAAACAGCAAGCAAGUAGCUACCAGGACUCAACAGCUCUCUGGUGACCAUCAUGUUCCUGAAGCUCUGCUUGACUGCAACAUGACUUUAUAUAGCAAUUUAUUCUUUAACAGCUACAGGAAUCGACCUCAUGGAACAGCAUCCUCAGAGCUGGCACUGUGCUGGCUCUGAGCCUGUGAGGUCCCCUAACUUCUCCUGUUACAUCCUGCAGUUGCUCUCUUUGGAAAGCCCAGGCCUGUCCCACCAAGCUCAGGGGUAUCAGUUCCAGUGCAGCCGCUGCCAAACAGCUUUGUGAGGCUGCUCAGGAAACAGCCUCUGAAAGAGUGAGGCUUGGCCUUUCUAGCAGAGAAGGAUGAGGGACCAGCGCUGGACUGUGUUCCCCAGGGAAGGCAAGAUGGACCAAGACAUCAGGAGAGAUUUCUUGAUCGUAAACUAAGGCUUGUAUUGAGCACUGGUAUUGCAGGGCAAUACACAUCGGACUCGAAGUACACCCUGGGGGGCAGCCUGGAGUUAAACGUUCGAGUGUCCUCAGGAUCCCAUGUAAAGGGGUCUGUCUCUACCUAAUGGGGAACAGUUGGCUGAAACACUAAGCCACAGCUUGGUGUGAAAGAAGGGUUUUCUGCUUGGUAGGCCAGCAAACAUCUGACAAGUGGGAAUCAUGUGUUCCCCUCUUGUAGUUGCUGUGCAGAGGUGCAGUGGUGGAUGGCACUGCCAAACCUGCCAGGACCCUGGACCACCCAGCAUCAUGGCUUGUUGUUGCAAGACUAUAUGGAGCAGUCACUCAUCAGUAGGUAGUUGCUCCCCAUCAGGGAAUGACACACAGUGACAUUUGGAUGUGAUGGGUAGGCCAGGCCCUGCUCAUUCAGCCAAAACAUGCAAGGUCUGUUCUGGCAUUAAUCUUGCCAAGGCAAGGGGUAUCCAUCAACAAUUUUUAACCAACUUGAGAUAGCAGAAUGAAUUUAUAUCAGAUCAGCUUUUGCAUGGUUUCCCAUAUGGCACUAGCAGUAUCUAGGCAAUGUACUGUUUCUCUUAAACAAUGCCCUGCCUGAAAAAAAGCAGGUAUAUUGAUCAUCUGCCCUUGUAGAAAGGAUGAGGAAGAGUAUAAAGAGAAAGAGAGAAGAAAUUUUGCCUGCUGGGGACUGAGGAUGAAGUGUGACUCACAGCCAGCAGUCCUGAGAGAGAGUUAACCCUGGAGCUCAGCCCUGGCUCUCCCUGCAGGGCUCUCCUUUGCUUGCAGAGAAGGUGGUAAACCCUGGAUGUAACUGCGUCUGCAAAGGAUGAGGGAGGGCAGAGGGAGCUUUUAUUUAAGGAACCUUUCCAGGAAAACCAGCCCAUGAGGUUAUUCUUUUGCUGUUCAACAACCUACAUUGCAAGAGAAAAGGGAGUACAAUAUUCUCCAGAUUAGGGAGGAGGACUUUGUGUUUUGAACUGAUUCAGAGGGGCCCCUCUCAAAGACUUCAGAACAACACUAAAAAUAGCUUACUCUGCUAAUACCAAGGAAACACUUUUUUUUGGCCAAGAAAUUGCAAUCCUAUUUUUUAUGCCCACUGAUUUUAGAAGGGAGAGUUAUAUGUCCCUUUGUGUUGGGCCUCUUUGUGAGUAAAGCACAUUAGGAAGAUCAAGGUUUCUUUGUACUUUGUUUGAAGAGCUAUCAAAUAGCAGCAGUAUCAGAUAAUGUGGAUUAUCAUCUUAUAACUCUCUACAAUUUUAUGUGUUUUAAUUACUGGUACAGAAGGAGUUCUGUGGGACAUCUGAGUCUUAGAAACAGACACUAAUUAAACAAGCAAAGUGUGCUGAGAUCUCUGUUUUCCUCAACGGUAUCAAUAACAAAAUUCUCUCACAGGUCAACACAAACUUCCUUCUCCCCCUCUCAUUUGAGCUGUGGGUAAUGAACAGUGUAGUGUUUUCAUAAUCAUCUAAUUUACGUAACAGCAGGUAUACUCAAAACAGAGAAAUAAUCGGGCCAGGAAAUCCACAGUGGCUGUUCCAGUAGCUUUGCAGAAUCCCUGAAAAACCACACAUCAAAUCCCCAGCUUCUGCUUUACACAAAGAAAGGCUCUUUCUCCCUGUGGAUCAGUGUUGUUAUGAAAAAACAUUAUAAAAUCAUAAAUAGAAAAGGUAAUCUGUUCAGGGCAGUGUAGAAACAUAUCCAAGCUAAGUGUGGCCCCACUUCAUCUACCUUCCAGUAGGUAGGGACUGGGAGGAGCAUUAAUACAAGCUGAACACACCUUAGAAACCUGAAGAUCAUUGACUGCUUGCCUAAAGGAAUCAGGAAGCCUAACAGUUGACCCUAGAAGCAUGGAAAAGGGACCAUAAAUCAUGAUCAAGAAUAUGCCCAGAUUAUAAAAUGUGCCCAUAUAUAGAAUACGGGUGGAGGGUUGGCAAUUUCUUUCGGUAACUUUGUUCUUCUGUCGAAAGGGUAUUUUAGCUCCUGUCUGGACAGCCAGCUCUAGACUGGUGAACAGGGUUGUUUUUAUGUUCGUUUUCAGCUGAGCUGUUGGCUGCACACCGAUUAUAGUAACCCAAGAGCUAAAUACAGUUCUUGAACCUUCGUCAUCCCUUGUCUUAUUCAUUCCCUUCUUUGUGGUCUGUUGCAUGCUAUAGUACUGGGUAUUUAACAAUGCUUGAUGUGACACAGAAUACUGCAAUAUUCCCAGAAAGAGACCUCUCUGAGGCAUGCAGUGUCUGUAUUUGUGCUCCUGCGUGCUAUACUGUUCUCCAAAGCAGGGAGAUAAGAAUGGGAUUAUCCCAUAUCUGCAAGCUACAGGCUUCUCAGACCUUUCUCUCAAGCAUCUGGUGCUGGCUAGCAUCAGAGACAGGAUAUUGACCCUUGUUUCUAAGCAAGUCUGGCAAUUCCCAUAUUUCCAGGCACUGGACAGAAACAGACUGUUUUCUGGUAGAGGGUGGCUCAUAUUUCUUGCCAAUGCUGACAGUCAAAUGCUGCUUUCACAUUCUCUCUUACUGCUAAUACACAACCUCAGGCUGAAGGUCAAAGGGUAGAUCCUGGAUGUUCCCAUGCAAGGAAAAUCAAUUUAGAUUCACAAAAGACAGAAGAGUCAGUGCAGAAGGUCACCACGUGGUCUCAGUCACUCUUCAGGUUUAGAAAUUUGAACAGGGAGGAAGGAGAAGGAUGAAUGAGUAUGAAUUGAUGGAGCAGGAUUGCUUGUGAACUGGCAGAGACACAGGCAGAAGGGCCAUCUGCAGUAGAGACUGACUUAUCCCACUGUGCCAGGCCCUGGACUAUCCCAAAAUCUCAUAAAUAUUUGUAAUUUGACCUCAGUUCAUCCCAUGGUGAAGCAAGAUGUCUACCAAGUUUUGAUUCCAGAUCCAGCCUGAGACUUAUAGUUUUAUUUUAUGGAGAAAUUUUAAACCAGAUAGUUUGCUUUGAAUCAAGAAAGGGACUUGGACAAACAGAGAAUGACCUGAUCCCUCACACCAGGAAGAAUGAAGAUGAUUUCGAGCUUAAAACACUGGGAUAAAACUACAAUUCUGCUCUCUUGGUGUAGCAGGGUAAAUCUGCUUGGCUUGUAACAGAAAAUUUGCCAGAAAUUAGAGCAGAGAAACACUCUCCAAGUGUUUUGGGGGCUAUUCUUUGCCUUAGAAGGAUGCUCAAAGCAAGAGCCAGGUAGUUUUUGGAGGGGCCAGGGCAAACGACUUUGAAUGAAAAGCAAUGGGAAAAGCAACUCUGAGGGCAGUGUGUGCCUCCCCCCGGCAUGCAGCGUGUGGAGGAGGUAUCGGUUGUCUCUACCUCAGCCCCCCACUUGCCUCUCUGCUUUCAGGCUGGUGAAUGCACUGGAAGGAGUCACACUGCAUACAUCUCACCAGGAUAUGCUUAUAGCUUGUGUUAGGGAUGUUGACAAACUUAUGCUGUUCAUUGUUGCAUUGUGUUUGAGCCAAGUCUCACAAGAGGAGACAGACUGUUGCUUCUCUGAGAGACUAAAGUCAUCAUUUGAUGAAAAAGCACCCAAUGAGUGAAUUCCCCCUUCUGCCUCUUUAUAUUUUUGAGCACUGCUCAGUAAUAACACCAGGCACAGCUUCAAAUUUAAGCACCAACAUCCCUACAGAUAUAGACUGUUUGCAGUUUUUAUGUAUACAGCCGAACACGACAGCUCCCCAAGGGCCAGACCAGUGCUGCUCUUUUCAUCUGGAGGCAGAUUCUUCCUGUAAAGUCUAAUACCUCUUCGAAUUGAGCAGGGUUACAUCAGAAGUAGAAUAUGAAUCAGGAUCUUUGUUUGUCAUUAGGCAUUUAGUUCAUAUUUGGUGUUGCUAUAAAUAGGUCAUUUGGCUGCAAUCCUUAUUUCCAGAUUUUAUUUUUAUUUUUUUAACCUCAGCUACGCUUUUUUAGACCAUGAGCGUGUGAUGAAUCUAAAAAUGUCAGACUUGGAAUGGGAAAGGGCAGAUAACUGAAGCAUGGCUCACUGCUGUCCCAGGCUGCUCACUGCCUGCCCAUUGCGGACAGAAGAGGGCCAAAUGAUCAGUCUUGGCACAGUCACUGAGGGUUGUUUUGAGUUCCUAGGAAUUUAACCCUAUGACUUUGACCUUUGACAAGAACACUUAAUUAUUUCCAGCUCUCCAACCAGGUCAUAAACUGGCCCUUUAGAAAAGUUUCCUGCUUUCCAUAAAAGACAGCUCUCAGCUCCUGUCAUAGCAAAGUUUAUAUUCUUUGAAUGGAGGGGCUUCUUGAAUCAGCAGGAUACUGUGGUUGGGUUACAGAGUUCAGCAUUUGGUUUUGUUUUUAACAGUAGAUGCAUCUGUGCUCCAAAAUGCCAUCCUGUGUCCAGAUUUUAUAUCUCCCGAACUUUUCCUUUUGUUUAUUGUUUCCCCAGAUAUUGGAAUUUGAAAUCGUUCCUUUGUAAAACCAGAAUUUCAGAAUAAAACAAAUUCCACCCUUUUCCUAUUUUCAGGACAUAUAAUAUAUGGAUAAUAAUCAAUAUUUUUUUCAUCCAAAUACCCAGCAGUGACUGCCUUGCACUCCUGUGAGCCUUAAAGUUUCGGUAACAGUUUAUGAGUGUAUCCCUUCCCUUGGCUGACAUAUUGAGCUGCAUAUGGCACACUUUCUGUACAAGGUAGACACACAGACCUAAACAACCAUGAUGCAGCAGGGAGUAGAGACUUUGCCUGGCAGCCUGGCAAGCCUCCUGUUUCUUGGCAGCCCUCAGAGGAGCAAGAGGGUUUUGUGCAGCACUCUGUGCACACGGCGUGCCCGGUAAGGAGCUCUUGAAACCAUCGAAGCUUCACUUAAAUGACGGUAAGGUUUAACAGAGAAUGUAAUUCUGCCUUCCCACUUAACAGCUUUACCAGUAAGUUGCUGCUUUUUCCUUACAUGGGGAUGUGGUUGGUGGGGACAUUCUUUUAAAAUGAAAAGGCGGCUCUUGGUACCAAAAACCACUUGCCCACAUUUCUAGCAUUUAAGGCAGCAAAACAGAGCUGAAAAACAGACUUAUACUGAAACACCUAUUUUUAGCUUGAUUUCCCAGCUUUUGCAGCCCCAGCUCUGCCUACCGGAUCUGAGGCAGAGCUCAGUGCCCCCUGGGGGCACUGGAGCUGCCCCAAAACAUUCAGCUCUGGUCCAAAUUUAUGUUUGCGUCAGCCCAGGUGUGAAGCCCAAGGUCAGACCAGAGUGAGGGGUCACUUGGAAUGCCUGCACCCUGGGGAGAAACCUCCACUGCCUCCAUGCCUUCAGCUCUGAUUUGGGAUCAUUGAGAUGCCACAACCAGCUGCAGGACCAUCAUGAAGGUAAAGUCUCUGAGAUGUCACUGAGGAGAGAAAUGAACAGCACACUUUCCUCGCCUUGCUGUGAGGAGGGGGAAAUAGAAAUGCAUGCAUUGAAGAUCACCAGUGGUAGCAGUGAUUGCAUUUCUUGGUCUACAGUAUUAAUUAAUUUAGACAGUGACAUCAUUAAACUUGUCUUGAAGAUCAGAAAGCAGCUGUAAGCAUCUUUCCUGCUUGGAGGGAAUGCCCCAUGCUUCAGAGAAGGCUGGAGUCCUACUUGUGACCUAGGAAAUUCCAGCCCUUACCCUGCCUCUUGGAGGCUGCCAGCUUCCAAGCUGGAAGCUUCCAGCUUAGUUAACUGUGGGAAUGAAGCCAUAGCUGAGCAAAGGGGGAAAAGGAAAUUAAAAAUAAAAAAGGUGGAAAGCUUUACAGGCCACAAGCCUUCAGAAAAAGGGCUGAAUUUCAGCCCUUCAGCCAUUUAGCUCAAAACACAAAUGGCAUGUUUGUAAAAAGACACAGAAUCUCAGUUGCUGGAAACAAAACAGCGAUUAGUGGCACUGCUGAAGUCUGUGUCUUGAAAGGUUUGUCUUUUUUUUUAUACUUUUGUCCCUUCACAGUCUUCUACCUAUACACAAUGUCCUGAAAAUGCCUUCUACUGCCUUACUCUCACCAACAGCAUUUUGCAAAAGAUGAAUUGCAUAUUGUUUCCUACAAGUCUUUUCUUCAAUUCAAGUCUGCAAAUGAAUGACUUUUUAAAUUGCAAUUCCCUGCUGCCUGAACCAGAUUCUCACCCAGAGGCUGCUUUAUACUGCUCCAGCAAUGCCAAACUGCUGAACUGCCCUUGUGGUAUGAAAGAGACCUGGACGUUAAAAGGAACAUUCUUUCAUGUCUGUAGAAUGUUUUCCAUAUUCUACAGAAGUACCAAGUAUUCUGUUUACUCAAAAUAAUAAUAAUAAUAAUAAAAAAAAGCAAACUCACCCAUAUAAUGUUCCUACUCCCAAAAUAUACCAUAUGGUAUUAUAAAUGUCAUCUUUCAGGGCCCUUCUUUUUGAAAAGCUAAGAAGUUUUAUGGCAUAAAUAUUUUCCCUGUGAGCUUAAGAAACCAAUGUGUCAGACACUGUAUUUUUUUAACAGUUAUGGUAUGUUAGAUCAUGGUCUUUUGUGGUUAGGUAUGACAUCAGGCCACCACAAAGCCAUACCAGGAGAAUCACACGGAGAAAAACAUGUCAACUUAAGAGCUUUCAGCAUUCAGGGGAAUUUGGAAAAGCCAAAACCUGGGUAUGUAGAAUGAUCUAUCUGUUGUUAUUCUGACAAAGCUAACCUGAGGUGACUUGCAAGCAUACAUACUUAUAAGAAGUUGUAAGGAAUAGAUAAGGAGAAAAGAAUUACUAUUUGGAUAUUUCAACUUCAGGAAAAAUAUCAGAAAGGCAAGCCAGCCACUGCCCUCCCCUUACCGUCCAUUAAAUACCUGAUAAUUCACCUACGAUCUCCAGCUCUUGGUGCCUGCUUUGCUAAAUGAAAGAGGCAGCCCAAAUUGCUAACAGGCACUUGGAAUCUUGGUGUACCUGACCUGCUCCUUUCUUAAUGUUCCUAUUUAUCCAUUCCAUUUAUCUGUUGUUUUCUUUCCUUAAUGCAGCAAUCCUUAGACCUUUCAGCCAACAUCAUGAAGAAACACACAAGAAAAAUAAGUUUUCUUGGAAGACAGAUCUGCGAGAGCAAGUGCCAAAAUGCGGAUGGGCAGCUGGAGCACAGUGAUGCCUCAGGCUGGCUGCAGGUGAUUUAGGUCGGGAGGGACCUCGAGACCCAAACCUGGGUGGAUAUAAUCUGCCAUGUGGGGUUUGCUGUUUUUGUGCUGGUUGGUGGAGCUGCCCUGGCUUGUCAUGGGUGCAGAGGGGUUAAUUCCUACCUUGUGCUCAUGCCAUAAGUAUUCGUCCACACAGAGUAGCUGGGGAGCCUGCUCUACCCCUGCAGACACAGUCAGUGGUUGCCAUGGAGGAAGGGCCCCUCCAAGACAUGCAGCAUAACUUGGGGGAAAGUAGGUCUCUACCUCUGCAACAAGCAAGUAACCAUCUACAGAGAUUUGCAUCAUCAGCUGAGAAGUCAUUGCCUCCAUGGAGCUCAGAUCCCAGAGUUGAAGAGAGGGUUUUUUUGGUUGUUUGGGAUUUUUUUGCAGAGCAAAUGCCUGCAGCUUUAUUUGGGAAUUUGCUAUUUCUGUUUCUGACCCAUAAAAGCACUUGUCUGCCUGUAAGUUUUUUUUCCUUUUUCUAACUAUCCUAAUUGAGUUAAUGAAAAUUAUUCCAUCUACCUAUGAGCUUUUUCUUGGCUAGGACUUACUCCAUGCCUUUGCCAUCAUUUAGGAAAGUGUGGUUCGCACUGCUGGCCUUGUAUGUUGAAGGACAGAGGCAACAUGCGAGAUAUCCUGUAUCUCCGAUAAGCCUUGGAGAAUUAGAGCUGUGAGCAGCCUCAUACUGAGAUGUGUACAUGGCUGCAUACGUAAGAGGAGAUGUCUCAGAUUGCAAAGGCAGUCCUCCUAUUGGCAUUUCUUAACUUGCAAGUCCUCAGCUUUGUAAGCCAAAUAAUGUCCUAUUAGCACAGGCUUGCAUUUAGGCAUGCAAUAAAAUGCCUUCAAAGGCACAGAUUUAUUGACAAAUUUUUUCCUUCCUGAAAUUGAAAGGACAAGAGGAACUUCAGAUUCAAAUGUAUUUUAUAGACCCUCUUCUACUCCUGCUUCAUGGUCUGCUGUCACCACCGUGCCCGGCCCUGCCAGAACAGAGAAACAAUAUUAGAUGCAGCAGCCAGAGCCGUCUGACCCCCAGCAGCAGGGAAUGCAGUUGGUACCAAGUUUCUCUCAUUUCCCUUUCUGAGAAGAGACACGUCUUCUACACUAGUGUGUCUUAAGUACUGGAAAAUACAUUAGUUGCUGGGACUGGUCAUACAUGCAAGACUGUUUUAGGAGGUAGUCCAUUGAUACUGGUUUCUAUUGUAGCAUAUAUUGAUUUGAUGUCUAUAAUCAGUCAACUUAGCAGUAUUUUUUUUACUGAAAAGUGUUCUGUGACUAUUUUAUUAUUUUUUAUCUUUGUAAUUUUUAUAUAACUGUUAUGACCUUCUAUUCUUAAUGUGGCUUUCCUUUGUGAUGUGCAGCUGAGAUGUAUAAACAAAGUUUUUUCAGAAAUAAUUUCAUGUGAUUCAUCAGGCCAUUCAGACUUAAACAGUCUGCUUUGUACUUUGAAUACUGACUAUUCACAGCAAUGUGAUCACAAAGAAUAUAUAGCUCGAAAAUUCCUGUGAGAAAUUUUUAGGGAAAUCUUUCUGAAUUAAGAACUCAUAUUUAUUAUUCUUUUCAGCUGUUUACAGACAAUCUACAAACCUGAUGAGACAAUGAAUUUGUGGACUUCAUUGCAUGAAAUUGUAGCAAUUAUUAAGUAGUAUCUAAACAAAGUGGACUGUGAUUAUUAAAUUUAAUCUAAACAAAAUGGACUGAAUUUGACUUCCUCCUCCUGUUAUUGUCUUUGCUAAAAGACUUGUACAAAAGCAGUGAUAGCAAAUAUCACACAGUAUUUCUUAUCAGCCCUUACACAGGGAGAUGAAGAAUUUUCUGAUAACAUUUAUUGUUUUUUUAGAUUCAACAUGUUCACAACAUAAUAGAAUAGGAUAUCAGUUCUUCUGACUACACAUGGGACAAACCCCCAAGAGCCAAUCCAUUUGUUUUGCUCUCCACUUUGGAUAGCUUGACACUAGCUUAGAUAUUAUCCUUCUUAAUUUGCUUUAAUGUGCUUAAGGAUGGUUUUGUUAUUGUUGUUAGCUGUUUAUGUGUUGGUUGAGGGCUUGGAGGACUUCUGUGGUCAAAAGCUCUGACAUAGGUCUAAACUCCUGCAUUGUUCCCUGUUCCCACAGCUUGCGGGAAAGCUGCUGAACCCGCCCUGCCCUGCUGCUCUCCUGAGUGAGUAGUCAUGGAGGGUAAACUGGGGCUGUAGAAGGUGUGAGGCUUGAAAAAACAGAGGGAUCCUAUAUUCUUUGCAAUAUGACAGAGAAAUAAAGUAGGCUAAGCUCCUAGGUGUGUCCUCAUGUGCUGCACCAAACAGUGCAUCCCAUAGCUUAACUCUAGAUUUUCAAAGCACCUUCUUGAGUGGCACUGGGAAGGGGUCUUCAGAAACACCUCAAAGCCACAGUUGCAUGUUUGCCUGCUUCAAAACGGCCCCCACCUAACUUGUGGAGAGGCAGGGAAAAAAACCCUGUCAGAAACACGUGUCUUUAGACCCUCCAACAAGGGCUAGAUACUCAGCAUUUGCUUAGUGUGGCAUUGGUCUAGGCAUGCCUGUCCUUCUAAGCCCUUGAGGACAGGGAAGUGCUACAUCCUUUCCCUGGGUUGUUGCAAGACACUUAUUAAUAAUUGUCAGAUACUUAUCAGAGAGCAAUAAGGAACUUUUGGACUUUCCAGGGAAACAGUUAGUGCACCUUUUUUUAACAACCAGAUGAUGAUGAUGAUGUCCAUGAUUUUCAAAGAGAAAGGUGGUUUCCAGAGGCUAGCAGCUGCCCUUGAAGGUGCAGGAACAAAUGCAGGGAGCAGCAAUGCCAAGCAGACACAGCAGGAAGGCAGCUUUGUGUGUUGUCUGUAGGUGGUAUUGAGAACAACACUGCCCUGGCCUAAAGGAAGAGUUUGUCCUAAUCACAGCAGAACCUUUGGUAAGGUUCCUUGUUCUAGCAGCAAAAUCCUCUCCCUCCUGUGUUCUGUGAAAAAGACAGAGGAUAAAUAUUCUGGGCUGAGAAUGAUACAAAAGGGGCCCUUAAAAGUUCUGCAGUCUCUGGCUUCAGGCCCUUAGCAAGAGAUUUCUUCAAGCUGUAAAAAAAAAGGAGUUUAAACAUUUUCUAUUUAUCCUCUUUUCUUUGUCCAGAGUCUUCUCAUGUCUCCAGCUGCUGUAUUCAUGUGCUUCCCCAUCUGGAAGAGAGCCAGGCACAGGGCAAGUGAGUUUGUAAGCUCAGAGAUUCCCUCUUACAGCACUGGAGAGAAGAGUGAAAGCAUUAGAGAAAAACAGCAGUGGCUCUUCCCUGGAUUGUUUUGCCCUCUUUAUGGAUUACCAUGCUGGUGAUUUUCCAUUACUAAUGGAAGGUUAAAGUUUCUACUUCUGACUGGUCUAGUUCAUCAGAACUAUCAAUAAAAACAAUGGAUGAAGGUGAAA